rnacentral:rRNA from 1 species
CUAAUCUGCCCUUGGGAUAGGAAUACCCCCGGGAAACUGGGGCUAAUUCCCCAUAGGUGAAGAACUCUGGAAUGAGUCUCCACCAGAAAAGAGCUUACGUUACGCUCGUAAGUUUCGCCCAAGGAUGAGGCCGCGACCGAUCAGGUUGUUGGCGAGGUAAUGGCUCACCAAGCCUUUUACCGGUGCGGGCCGUGGGAGCGGGAGCCCGGAGAUGGGGACUGAGACAAGGGCCCAGGCCCUAUGGGGCGCAGCAGUCGCGAAAACUUUGCAAUACACGAAAGUGUGACAGGGCUAUCCCGAGUGCCAUCCGCUGAGGAAGGCUUUUACCCAGUCUAGAACGCUGGGGGAAUAAGGAGAGGGCAAGUCUGGUGUCAGCCGCCGCGGUAAUACCAGCUCUCCGAGUGGUGUGGAUGUUUAUUGGGCCUAAAGCAUCCGUAGCUGGCUAGGUAAGUCCCUUGUUAAAUCCACCGAAUUAAUCGUUGGAUUGCGGGGGAUACUGCUUGGCUAGGGGACGAGAGAGGCAGACGGUAUUUUCGGGGUAGGGGUGAAAUCCUAUAAUCCCGGGAAGACCACCAGUGGCGAAGGCUGUCUGCUAGAACGCGCCCGACGGUGAGGGAUGAAAGCUGGGGGAGCGAACCGGAUUAGAUACCCGGGUAGUCCCAGCUGUAAACGAUGCAGACUAGGUGUUUGGACGGCCACGUGCCGUUCUAGUGCCGCAGGAAAGCUGUUAAGUCUGCCGCCUGGGGAGUACGAUCGCAAGAUUGAAACUUAAAGGAAUUGGCGGGGGAGCACCACAAGGGUGAAGCUUGCGG